rnacentral:rRNA from 1 species
CUGGUUGAUCGGCCGGUAAUCAUAUGCUUGUCUUAAAGACUAAGCCAUGCAUGACUAAGUUUAAGCAAAUUAAACGGCGAAACUGCGAAUGGCUCAUUAAAUCAGUUAUAAUUACAUUUGAUCGUAAAAUUUACUUGGAUAACCGUAGUAAUUCUAGAGCUAAUACAUGCUAAAAUCCCUAUUCUUUACUGGAUAGGGUGUAUUUAUUAGAUAAAAAACCAAUGUAGGGGGCAACUUCUACUAAAACUGGUGAAUCAUAAUAACUUCGCGAAUCGCAUAGUCUCGUACUGGCGAUGCUUCAUUCUAAUAUCUGCCCUAUCAACUAGAUGGUAGUGUAGUGGACUACCAUGGUUGUAACGGGUAACGGAGAAUUAGGGUUCGGUUCCGGAGAGGGAGCCUGAGAGAUGGCUACCACUUCUAAGGAAGGCAGCAGGCGCGUAAAUUACCCAAUGGGGAUACCCCGAGGUAGUGACAAUAAAUAACAAUAUGGGUCCCGACAAGGGUCUCAUAAUUGGAAUGAGUACAAUUUAAAUCCCUUAACGAGGAACAAUUGGAGGGCAAGUCUGGU